GUUGCAGGGUAUAGACCCGAAACCCGGUGAUCUAGCCAUGGGCAGGUUGAAGGUUGGGUAACACUAACUGGAGGACCGAACCGACUAAUGUUGAAAAAUUAGCGGAUGACUUGUGGCUGGGGGUGAAAGGCCAAUCAAACCGGGAGAUAGCUGGUUCUCCCCGAAAGCUAUUUAGGUAGCGCCUCGUGAAUUCAUCUCCGGGGGUAGAGCACUGUUUCGGCAAGGGGGUCAUCCCGACUUACCAACCCGAUGCAAACUGCGAAUACCGGAGAAUGUUAUCACGGGAGACACACGGCGGGUGCUAACGUCCGUCGUGAAGAGGGAAACAACCCAGACCGCCAGCUAAGGUCCCAAAGUCAUGGUUAAGUGGGAAACGAUGUGGGAAGGCCCAGACAGCCAGGAUGUUGGCUUAGAAGCAGCCAUCAUUUAAAGAAAGCGUAAUAGCUCACUGGUCGAGUCGGCCUGCGCGGAAGAUGUAACGGGGCUAAACCAUGCACCGAAGCUGCGGCAGCGACGCUUAUGCGUUGUUGGGUAGGGGAGCGUUCUGUAAGCCUGUGAAGGUGUGCUGUGAGGCAUGCUGGAGGUAUCAGAAGUGCGAAUGCUGACAUAAGUAACGAUAAAGCGGGUGAAAAGCCCGCUCGCCGGAAGACCAAGGGUUCCUGUCCAACGUUAAUCGGGGCAGGGUGAGUCGACCCCUAAGGCGAGGCCGAAAGGCGUAGUCGAUGGGAAACAGGUUAAUAUUCCUGUACUUGGUGUUACUGCGAAGGGGGGACGGAGAAGGCUAUGUUGGCCGGGCGACGGUUGUCCCGGUUUAAGCGUGUAGGCUGGUUUUCCAGGCAAAUCCGGAAAAUCAAGGCUGAGGCGUGAUGACGAGGCACUACGGUGCUGAAGCAACAAAUGCCCUGCUUCCAGGAAAAGCCUCUAAGCAUCAGGUAACAUCAAAUCGUACCCCAAACCGACACAGGUGGUCAGGUAGAGAAUACCAAGGCGCUUGAGAGAACUCGGGUGAAGGAACUAGGCAAAAUGGUGCCGUAACUUCGGGAGAAGGCACGCUGAUAUGUAGGUGAAGUCCCUCGCGGAUGGAGCUGAAAUCAGUCGAAGAUACCAGCUGGCUGCAACUGUUUAUUAAAAACACAGCACUGUGCAAACACGAAAGUGGACGUAUACGGUGUGACGCCUGCCCGGUGCCGGAAGGUUAAUUGAUGGGGUCAGCGCAAGCGAAGCUCUUGAUCGAAGCCCCGGUAAACGGCGGCCGUAACUAUAACGGUCCUAAGGUAGCGAAAUUCCUUGUCGGGUAAGUUCCGACCUGCACGAAUGGCGUAAUGAUGGCCAGGCUGUCUCCACCCGAGACUCAGUGAAAUUGAACUCGCUGUGAAGAUGCAGUGUACCCGCGGCAAGACGGAAAGACCCCGUGAACCUUUACUAUAGCUUGACACUGAACAUUGAGCCUUGAUGUGUAGGAUAGGUGGGAGGCUUAGAAGUGUGGACGCCAGUCUGCAUGGAGCCGACCUUGAAAUACCACCCUUUAAUGUUUGAUGUUCUAACGUUGACCCGUAAUCCGGGUUGCGGACAGUGUCUGGUGGGUAGUUUGACUGGGGCGGUCUCCUCCUAAAGAGUAACGGAGGAGCACGAAGGUUGGCUAAUCCUGGUCGGACAUCAGGAGGUUAGUGCAAUGGCAUAAGCCAGCUUGACUGCGAGCGUGACGGCGCGAGCAGGUGCGAAAGCAGGUCAUAGUGAUCCGGUGGUUCUGAAUGGAAGGGCCAUCGCUCAACGGAUAAAAGGUACUCCGGGGAUAACAGGCUGAUACCGCCCAAGAGUUCAUAUCGACGGCGGUGUUUGGCACCUCGAUGUCGGCUCAUCACAUCCUGGGGCUGAAGUAGGUCCCAAGGGUAUGGCUGUUCGCCAUUUAAAGUGGUACGCGAGCUGGGUUUAGAACGUCGUGAGACAGUUCGGUCCCUAUCUGCCGUGGGCGCUGGAGAACUGAGGGGGGCUGCUCCUAGUACGAGAGGACCGGAGUGGACGCAUCACUGGUGUUCGGGUUGUCAUGCCAAUGGCACUGCCCGGUAGCUAAAUGCGGAAGAGAUAAGUGCUGAAAGCAUCUAAGCACGAAACUUGCC
rnacentral:rRNA from 1 species